rnacentral:lncRNA from 1 species
UUUAUUUUAAUUGGACAAGUCAUUUAAGAACAAAUUCUUAUUUACAAUGACAAUUUUGCACCGCCCUAUGUGACUCCCAAUCACAGCCGGAUGUGAACCAAGGACUGUAGUGACACCUCUUGCACUGAGAUACAGUGCCUUAGACCACUGCACCACUCUGGAGCCCAUAUGGCACAUUAGUCAUUAGUGCAUAGGCAUACAUCCUAAUGCAGUACAAUGUGCUAAUGUACAAUCAUAUUCUAGUCUUGUCUACGCAAUAGCUGUAAUUGUAACCAUCGUCACCUGUCGCUAUUGUGUCUACUCGAUUUUAUGCCGCGUUCAAGUGCUAGUCGGUACAAGGAAACUCGGACAUUUCCGACUUGCUAACUGGUUGAAACGCAGCACGUGUUUAACUACCAUCAGUUAGCUAGUCGAACUUUUCCGAGUUUCCGGUUUGCUAACUGGUUAUAGGUAUACAUGAUACUACAUUAGUUCCGACUAGCACAUGAACGCAGCACACCUCAAGAGUGGGCUACAGCGAUGAUGCUUAGGCUACGUGUGUGAGUGGGAUGGAUGGAAGUAUCUUGCCGUCGACAUUCUGGUUGCUGGACGCACGUACUGUAGGCUACUGCGGAGCCAUGACAACAGGCCUCCCUGCUCCAAAUGGGGGGCAGACAGACGCUGGAGGUUGGGCUCUGGUGCCUCUGCUACGGAGCCCAGGGGAGCAGGAGUGGAAGAGGGGCCGGGACGAGAGCAAGGUGGCCUCCAACGGUGGGUUCCUGGAUGGGGGGCCGGGGGCGGAGGAUGACUUUGGGCUUUUCAUGCAGGCAGAGGAGCAGCCGCCCUGGGACGACCGCUUCACUGCAUCACCCCUAGUGCCUUCUGGGAAAAGUGAGAGUGUUGCACUUGAAAACCAUUCCAUCACCAACGAGUCGACCCAUUGGACCUCAUGUUGGCCAGACCGCUCAUUCCAACCACCAGAGGAUGCCUGGACAGCCUUCCCAAAGGAUUCAGAGGGAGAGGGACAAGACACAAGAGGACAGUGGUGGCCCACAAAUGCUGUGGAGAAGACGAGGGGAAGAUUCUCUGCCAAGGGAAAUGUGAACAAUGUGUUUGUGGAGUCCUUCCCGUCACUGUCUACUCCCCUGUAUGACCGUGAUGCUGUUCCCAUGCUCAGCCAGCUCCUCAGAGGCAUCUUGGAUCAUGAAAGCUCUGCAGAGGAUCAUGGCUUACUUGAUGGGUUCCAUGACCUGAAGAAGAUGUUUGGCUUGAAAUAUAAGAGGGCAAAUGCUGUUUCCCGUGGACGGCUUCUACAGUCGCUACAUUUGGGCCAGUAUGACACGGAAAAUAUGACUGGGCAUAGAGCAGCCAACUACAGUCCCUCUCUUGGCCUCCCCUCGUCCAGUCAGCAUGCACAGGCCUGUGGGAAGAGACGGUUAUCUUAUGAUGUCAACAAGAACAUCAUGGAAUAACCAAGAUUUCCACUUUCCCUGACUGUCAACAACACAUUGUCUUUACUAUGCCCUUCUAUGCCAAACCACUAAUGGGUCACGGUCUUCAUCUCCAUGGGGAGAAAUAACAAAAAAAUGUCACAAGAUUCAGAACUCAGAGGAUGGACCAGCUGACUAUAUGGUGACCCUUAAUAAUGCCCUGUUUUGCUUGACAUUUCCCUGGAGUUGGAUCAAUAGAUGCAUACCUGUGACUAAUUGGAUAAAAUGAAGCACAAAUGAUUAUUUUUGUCUCACAAAUAUUCCUAAAAUACAUGCAGAUGUUUACAUUCUUAUUAAUCUCAUUCUUUUAGGGACUCUAUGAAAUGUUAAAGUAAUUUGUUUGUCAGGAGAAGUGGAUGUCUAUACCCCUCCCCCUUCGUUCACUCCCACCCGCUUUCCCCCACACACACACGGACUUGGACACAAACACACACUGUCCUCUCCCAUCAUGUGGUCUGGCUCAACUGUGUGCCAGUGACAACUCUGGAGCAGAAUAUAUUCUGUUGGUUUAGCUAACAUUGGAGCUCACAUGGAUCACAGCUCCUUUUCUUAUUAUUUCAGUACAUAAUGACCAUGUUUACUGAAAUGAUUACCUUUUUAAAUUGGGGUGUUUCUGUCUGUCAGAAUUACGUUUUGUACUGGCUAAGAGAAAGUGUUAUUUUACCAGUACAAGUUUGUUUUAGAUCACAAAAAUGCAAUCAUGUCCUAUUAAGACUCCAUUUGUUUUUGUGGGGGCAACCCUGGGCAACUCAGUAGGUCUACAGAAAAUGUAUUUGAUGUUUGUCAUUUGUACAUAAUUCCAAGGGAAAAUACAGAUUUUUUUUCUGAGUGGUUCAAAUGGAUAAAAAAAAGAGAUUGUCAACUUGUUCAUUGAUGUAAUAAAAUGACACGGUGAUUGCGGUUUUCCAUCCUCAAAGCUUUUGCUAAUGUUGUUGCUGUGUCAUUUUUAGAAGUACCUAAAUGGUCAUCUUAUUUGCGUAUUUGACACAAUACUCACUAUAAACCAAAACAGCAAAAAAUAGUACUUCUACAGGCUACAUGUGUCAGUCAAUUAGAAUGGUGUACGGCGCUAGAAUGAAGUAUCACAGGUCAAAGGGAAACUGCACUGGCAAAUCAACACUUCCAAGUGACAUACAUUGAAUUAGCACACCAUUAC